rnacentral:lncRNA from 1 species
GGGAGGGGCGGCUGGCGGCGGGGACUGAAGGUGACGGCGGUGGCGUCUGGUGUUGGACGCGUCGACGCUCUUGCUGACGGUGUCGACGGCGAGGUCCUCCAGAUCUGCGGGUGCCGCGCGGCCGGUGGCAGCGGCGGCGGCGGAUGCCGACGGCAGCUGGCGACAGUGGCAGCGGGGACUACGGUGACGGGCGGCAGCUGGCGACAGCGGCAACGGCUAUGGCGGUUCGGGCGCGUCGGCGCUUGUCCUGGCGGUGUCGGCGGCGAGGUCCUCCAGAUCUGGGGGUGCCGGCGGUUGCGAUGCGGCUGGUGGCAGCGGCGACGGCGGCUGGCGACAGCGGUGGCGGUGAUUGCGGUGGCAGACGGCGGCUAUGGCGACAACGCUGAUGGCGGCGGUCGGCGACGCGACGCCCGUGGACGGCGCGGCGGCUGUGGCAGCCACGGCUCUAGCGGUGGCUGGCGGAUGCGGCAGUGA